rnacentral:rRNA from 1 species
UACGUAGGGGGCAAGCGUUGUCCGGAUUUAUUGGGCGUAAAGAGCGUGUAGGCGGCCUGACAGGUCUGCUGUGAAAACUCGAGGCUCAACCUCGAGAUGGCGGCGGAAACCGUCUGGCUAGAGUCCGGAAGAGGAGAGUGGAAUUCCUGGUGUAGCGGUGAAAUGCGCAGAUAUCAGGAAGAACACCGAUGGCGAAGGCAGCUCUCUGGGACGGUACUGACGCUGAGGCGCGAAAGCGUGGGGAGCGAACAGG